rnacentral:rRNA from 1 species
UACGUAGGGUGCAAGCGUUAAUCGGAAUUACUGGGCGUAAAGCGUGCGCAGGCGGUUGUGCAAGACAGAUGUGAAAUCCCCGGGCUCAACCUGGGAACUGCAUUUGUGACUGCACGGCUGGAGUGCGGCAGAGGGGGAUGGAAUUCCGCGUGUAGCAGCGAAAUGCGUAGAUAUGCGGAGGAACACCGAUGGCGAAGGCAAUCCCCUGGGCCUGCACUGACGCUCAUGCACGAAAGCGUGGGGAGCAAACAGG